rnacentral:rRNA from 1 species
CCUACGGGUGGCAGCAGUUGGGAAUAUUGCACAAUGGGCGCGACCCUGAUGCAGCGACGUCGCGUGAGUGAAGAAGGAUUUCGGUAUGUAAAGCUCUAUCAGCAGGGAAGAAAAUGACGGUACCUGAUUAAGUAGCCCCGUCUAACUACGUGCCAGCAGGCGCGGUAAUACGUAGGCGGCCAGCGUUAUCCGGAUUUACUGGGUGUAAAGGGAGCGUAGACGGCAGGACAAGUCUGGAGUGAAAUGCCGGGGCUUAACCCCGGAACUGCUUUGGAAACUGUGGAGCUUGAGUGAAUGAGAGGUAAGUGGAAUGCCUGGGGUAGCGGUGAAAUGCGUAGAUAUUAGGAGGAACACCAGUGGCGAAGGCGGCUUACUGGACCGUAACUGACGUUGAUGCUCGAAAGCGUGGGGAGCAAACAGGAUUAGAUACCCGUGUAGUC